UACAGAGGUCUCGAGCGUUGUUCGGAUUCAUUGGGCGUAAAGGGUGCGUAGGCGGCGCGGUAAGUCGGGUGUGAAAUCUUGGAGCUUAACUCCGAAACUGCAUUCGAUACUGCCGUGCUUGAGGACUGGAGAGGAGACUGGAAUUUACGGUGUAGCUGGUGAAAUGCGUAGAUAUCGUAAGGAAGACCAGUGGCGAAGGCGGGUCUCUGGACAGUUCCUGACGCUGAGGCACGAAGGCCAGGGGAGCAAACGGG
rnacentral:rRNA from 1 species